rnacentral:misc_RNA from 1 species
UACUGAUUGUUUGGUCAAUAC